ensembl:snoRNA
UACAGUGGAGUCAAAUUUGGCCUCGUGUCAUCAUGGUGGGAGCUGGCCAAGAUGGCUGCCACAGCAAACACCAUUGCGCAUGGACUCUGGGUCCACUGCCUGGACUCAGGGAUAAGUUUGACCGCGGACAUAG